rnacentral:tRNA from 1 species
UGGGAUAUAGCUCAGUUGGUAGAGUGCUUGCUUUGCAUGCACUUUGCAAACCCUGGGUUUGAUCCCCAAUACCCCAA